rnacentral:rRNA from 1 species
UGGCGGACGGGUGAGUAACGCGUGGGUAACCUGCCUCAUACAGGGGAGUAACAGUUGGAAACGACUGCUAAUACCGCAUAAGCGCACAGGGUCGCAUGACCUGGUGUGAAAAACUCCGGUGGUAUGAGAUGGACCCGCGUCUGAUUAGCCAGUUGGUGGGGUAACGGCCUACCAAAGCGACGAUCAGUAGCCGACCUGAGAGGGUGACCGGCCACAUUGGGACUGAGACACGGCCCAAACUCCUACGGGAGGCAGCAUG